GGAAUCUUGUUAAAAUGAGGUCUUUGAUUUAGUAGGUCUGAGGUGGGACCUAGGAUUCUACAUUUGUAACAAGUUC
rnacentral:miRNA from 1 species